AGACCUUCGGGUCUAGUGGCGCACGGGUGCGUAACGCGUGGGAAUCUACCCUUUGCUACGGAAUAACUCAGAGAAAUUUGUGCUAAUACCGUAUGAUGUCGAAAGACCAAAGAUUUAUCGGCAAAGGACGAGCCCGCGUAGGAUUAGCUAGUUGGUGUGGUAAAGGCGCACCAAGGCGACGAUCCUUAGCUGGUCUGAGAGGAUGAUCAGCCACACUGGGACUGAGACACGGCCCAGACUCCUACGGGAGGCAGCAGUGGGGAAUAUUGGACAAUGGGCGAAAGCCUGAUCCAGCAAUGCCGCGUGAGUGAUGAAGGCCUUAGGGUUGUAAAGCUCUUUUACCAGGGAUGAUAAUGACAGUACCUGGAGAAUAAGCUCCGGCUAACUCCGUGCCAGCAGCCGCGGUAAUACGGAGGGAGCUAGCGUUGUUCGGAAUUACUGGGCGUAAAGCGUACGUAGGCGGUUAUUCAAGUCAGGGGUGAAAGCCUGGAGCUCAACUCCAGAACUGCCCUUGAAACUAGAUAACUAGAAUCUUGGAGAGGUGAGUGGAAUUCCGAGUGUAGAGGUGAAAUUCGUAGAUAUUCGGAAGAACACCAGUGGCGAAGGCGACUCACUGGACAAGUAUUGACGCUGAGGUACNAAAGCGUGGGGAGCAAACAGGAUUAGAUACCCUGNUANUCCACGCCGUAAACGAUGAUAACUAGCUGNUCNGGGCUCUACGAGCUUGANUNGCNCNNUUAACGCAUUAAGUUAU
rnacentral:rRNA from 1 species